UCGGGGGUCGUCCAACUGGCAGGACACGAGAUUUUGGUUCUCGGAAUCAGCGUUCGAUCCGCUGCCCCCGAGCCC
rnacentral:tRNA from 1 species